rnacentral:rRNA from 1 species
UACGUAGGGGGCAAGCGUUGUCCGGAAUUAUUGGGCGUAAAGAGCGCGUAGGCGGUCCGGUAAGUCGGCUGUGAAAGUCAAGGGCUCAACCCUUGAACGCCGGCCGAUACUGUCGGACUAGAGUCCGGAAGAGGCGAGUGGAACUCCUGGUGUAGCGGUGGAAUGCGCAGAUAUCAGGAAGAACACCGACGGCGAAGGCAGCUCGCUGGGACGGUACUGACGCUGAGGCGCGAAAGCGUGGGGAGCAAACAGG